rnacentral:rRNA from 1 species
GUGCAGCAGUCGAGAAUCUUCGGCAAUGGGGGAAACCCUGACCGAGCGACGCCGCGUGUGGGAUGAAGGCCCUUGGGUUGUAAACCCACUGUCAGAGGGGAUGAAAUGCCGGAAAGUUAUCUCUCCGGUUUGACAUAGCCUCAGAGGAAGCACGGGCUAAGUUCGUGCCAGCAGCCGCGGUAAGACGAACUGUGCAAACGUUAUUCGGAAUCACUGGGCUUGAAGAGUGCGUAGGCGGUUUCGUAAGUAGGGUGUGAAAGCCCCCGG